ensembl:lncRNA
UUUGUGCACAGCUGCGCUAUGUCGGUAUCUCGGCAAUGGCCGCCAGAUCUCGCGAGAGGUGCUGACGGGACGUGGCAUUGCCGGGGCAACGGCGGGAGGUUUAAACGGCGGAACCGCGGACGUGGCGCUCAAUGACCACGGGCAGCUGCUUGGCAGCCGGCGCUGCUGGAACCGCGACGACGCAUUUCGAGGUACCGUGGGGAUUCGGGAGCCUCCUUCCUCCUCCCCGGGAAACCGGGGAGAGGAGAGUGAACGGCAGCAGCCGCCAUCAGCGGGAGAGAGGCUGACGUGGCGCCGGGGCAGCAGUGACCGCACCCACGGCCUUAGAAGGAGCCUCAGGGAGGAGCGGUUGGCGCGUGUGCGUCACGUGUCAUCCACCCCCAAAAGGGAGCACCUGAGAAUCCCCGAAGCCUCUGACCAAUACAGAAAAUGUUAUGCUGAGGGACAGAGCCAGUAGUUUCAACCAUAGCAGCAGCAGAAGCAAAAGAGAGAACCAGAUUUUGACCGGUCAGAGAGGUGAAGCAUCACCACUGUACAAAUAGGAUCCUCCAGGUUUUUCAAAAGAAGGGGAGGAACAGUUGUAUGUCAGCAGACUGAAGAGGUAUUUGGCAGAGUUUGAAUCAGCUCUAAAGUUGAGCAGUAGCCAAGAGCCGUCCUUCCAGCCCCACACUGUGCAGACCUGGGAGAAAGGAGGAAGUGGUCCUCAUCCUAAGGAAUUUAAACUGUGAGAAAAGUGGUGAUGAGAUACAAGUCAUGCUAAUUUCAAGUGUUAAUGAAGCAGAAUCCAUCCCGAUGUGAAGCCUCUGAAGAGGGAUGCUGCAUCUUCGACGGAAGGUGUUAUGAGUGCAGAUUAGUUAGACAAGUGCUGGAGUGAAUGCAUAAGCAGUGAUUUUGCAUAAUGAGGUAUAGCCCUUAGAUACCCAAGGGCAGUAUGGACACAACUUAAAGAUGGAGCAGGUGCUCUGAUGCCUUCUUGAGAAGGAUCACAAACGCUUCCAAGGGAUGUCUCAGUCCCCAUCUUCUGCUGCAGAAUAAGUGUCUCAAGAUCUGUUGUUUGCCGUGCUUCAUCGAGGUCGUUACAAAUGUCUGCUGGAGAGAUAGGAAGUUGUGGAGCAAAUGAGAAGGGACAGCACUGUCCUGUCAUUAACACGUUCAGAAGAAGUCGGAUAUCCCAGCAAGAUCACAGAAUCACAAGAGUUGGAAGGAACCUCAAGAGACUAUUGAAUCCAACCCCCCUGCUAAGGUCUGACCAACAGAAGGAGUGGCUGCAGUGCAUGCUGUGCCUUUAGUGCACUCCUCAACACGGCACCCAGAAAAUCAAAGUGUGGAAACUGACAGAAUAACCAUUGUGUCGCCCUUUAGCAACUAUCUGCUAAAACAUGGAGGUCGUUCUAUGAAGGGCAGCGUGCUGGAAUGCAAACAAGAAUGUGAAGUGUUUUGUAUGAAUGUGGAUUCUUCCAUUCCAAUACUAACUGGCUGUCAGCAGUUCUCUUUGAAGCUGGAGCACACUGGAGCUCAAUCACUGCACAAGGAUUAGAGACUCAUACGUUCUAAGGCAUUAGUAAAAAUAUAUUCCAGGUGGAUUCUGUCUCUUAAAUGCGUCAUUAUUAUUAAGGCAGUAGAGUUUUUUGGCGUGCAAUCUCUUCCAAAGCAUUGACUCAUGGGAGGAAGAGGGAGCAGCUUUUCCUUUUGCUCAGCAUGCAAGCCUCUGAUAAACAGGGUCUGCUGGGAUGUUCUGUCCAAGGAGAUUGAUCAGAGGUGUCGGAGCGAGCUGUGCUCAACUGGGCCUGGCAGCAAAACUGGGAGAGGCUCACAAUGAGGGUGAAAGGGAGGAGGAAAACCAGACGUUCUGCUUUUAUCAUUGUAAUGCCAUAGGGCUUUAAACAGCAAAAUCUGUGCUGGUAGGAAAGCCCAUGCCUAAAUAUCAGUACCAGCUUGGAUGAUAAAUAUGGACUAAGAGAAGGCUCCUAAGUAGAGACUUAAACUGACUGGUAUCCUCCAGGUGUGUAAACCUACUUAAAUCCUGAAAUAAAAACAGUGUACUUCAAAACUAAAUGCAACUGAAGAACAACACAGUGCAAAUUUCAAGUCUGCUCCUUUUCUUUCAGACUUGAGAAGAUCUGAU